rnacentral:pre_miRNA from 1 species
AGCCUUCUGUAUCUUUGCUGAGAUUCCGUCAAAGAUCAACCCCUUGACUGAUGCAACUCCUCAAAUAAGUGAAGUG